rnacentral:tRNA from 1 species
GCCUGAGUGGCUCAGUUGGUUAAGCAUCAGACUUUGGCUCAGGUCAUGAUCUCAGUGUUCAUGGGUUCAAGCCCCACAUCAGGCU